GGCAACGUGCCAGAGUGGUUAAUGGGUUAGACUCGAAAUCUAAUGGCUUCGGCCGCACAGGUUCGAAUCCUGUCGUUGUCG
rnacentral:tRNA from 1 species